rnacentral:rRNA from 1 species
AUUGGACGCUGGCGGCAUGCCUUACACAUGCAAGUCGAACGGCAGCACGGGAGCAAUCCUGGUGGCGAGUGGCGAACGGGUGAGUAAUAUAUCGGAACGUGCCCAGUCGUGGGGAUAACGUAGCGAAAGCUACGCUAAUACCGCAUACGAUCUAUGGAUGAAAGCGGGGGAUCGCAAGACCUCGCGCGAUUGGAGCGGCCGAUAUCAGAUUAGGUAGUUGGUGAGGUAAAGGCUCACCAAGCCGACGAUCUGUAGCUGGUCUGAGAGGACGACCAGCCACACUGGGACUGAGACAGGCCCAGACUCCUACGGAGGCAGCAGUGGGGAAUUUUGGACAAUGGGCGCAAGCCUGAUCCAGCAAUGCCGCGUGCAGGAUGAAGGCCUUCGG